UUAAUAGCAAUCAAGGUUGUAAUAUUUUAUUUUACACAAAACAGGUGGGUACAGCGAAACAUAAUCACUGCAAGCGCAACUGCGACCACCGCAAUUGUUAGACAAGCGCUUACAAGCACAAUGUCUCGUGCUCUAGCAUCAGCAAUAACUGCUCCAUGCUCAAGAACAGCAAAUUCAGUAUCCAACCACCCCGGUCUGAACAUCCUGCAUCUGGCAAUCGGCCAAACAUUCUCAACAUUAAGUCGAUCUAAUCACAGCAGUACCACUUUAAAUCCAGCAUCAGCCAACAACUUCAUAAAAGAACCAUAUUACAAUUACAGCGCAGAACCCACAAAUCAACAAUCUUGAUCGCUACCGGUUCCUGCCUUAAAACCAAUUCCAACAGUUUCAUCAAAAGCAACAAACUUCCAUCAUGACAGGAAACACAACGCAACUGAAAUAAGUGAUAUGUGGUGAUCAUAUCUGCAAACGUUUGCAUCUAACUUAUCCAACAUCCACGAUGUGUUUAAUUAAAAAGGAGCUAUUUCAUGUACGGUGGACCCUUCAGGAAAUAUUGUUUAUCAGCCCAUUGUUUCUCACCAGCGGUUGUCCUGAUUUAACGUAAUCCCAACAUUUGUUGCUACCAGCUCCUUGCAUAAAAAUAUCCCUGCCUUGACAGUGCCCGUGAUUCAACCAUCCCAAAAACAGCAAGCAAUCUAUUCCAGUGCUUAUUGCCAAGAUUGCACAAGUUCAGCAGCAGCAGCAGCAGCACCUUCAACAAUAACAGCAGAAAAUUUUCCUAGGCGACAACCAUCAUCCUACAGGUCGGUAAUAAUAACUUUCAAACGACGGUUCUACCUCAGGGUUUGACGCUAAUUAAACAAUCUGGACCGCAACUAGUGCAAACGAUCCAAACAAAUCAAAGAAAACGAAGAUGAUCAUUGGCCAACACCAGAAACAACUACAAAUCAGAAUUAUCACCCAAAUUCAGCCUUGAAACCCGAACGUAAAUUCUAUUUGCUUCAAACACUUAAAAUCCUGAUGAAGAAGAAAUGCUAAUGUUAUUACGCGCACACAUACCUUCUAUGUGUCAACUGUAUAAACUAUGUAUGCACACACAUAAGUUAUAAUGCAACAUAUUAUGUGCGUAUUGUUAUAGAAUCAAGUUUUAUGUGCCUUAUAGUUAUGAAAUGUGAAUGUAAGAUUAAUAUGGAAAAGGAAGAGAGGCAUCACAUUUUGAUCAAAGCGUAGGCUUCCAUAAAUUUCCGCCGGAUUUGAAGUUGCGAAAAGUUUGGAGGGAAUUCGUUGGCGUAGACGUCUCCAAGUUUUGCUGGCGGGGAAAAUAUAUCUACCCGGAACACUUCUUGCACUCGAGCUGAUCGAGGAAAACGGUACGACGAAACUACUAGACAGAGCAACCAGAGCAAAUACCGAUCCACACAUAACCCAACAGCAGCAACAGGGUACCAUGGUCAUCAUCCAUCAUCAGAACGCGAUGGUAGUGAAUCAACAGUUAGCACAACAGCAAGGUAGCUUGGAAAGGACUUUCUGUCGAAAAAAAUAUAAUGAAAGCGCACAUGUUCAAACGAGGCAAACGUAUGACUCGUUUGGAAAAAAGCGCAUGUCAUCUGUUUCAUGGCGUGUAAUCGGGACAACCCUCGAACUAAUCCGGAAAAUGUCACCGUUAAGCUGAUCGAGAGCCAGAUCGAACACCAACAACAUAUCAUGGUAAUCACCCAGCAAGAGAACGCAGUGAUAAUGGGCCAACAGAAAACACAACAUCAAGAUGCUCGGAAAGGACUUUCUCUUUCGAACAAACAUAAUGGCACGUCAUCUUCAAUCGGCUAACCGUUUGGAAUAAGCGCUCAUCAUCGGUUUCAUGGCAGGGAAGUGAGCAGGCAAAAGAAGGCAUCGUUUUUUCCGCAAGGUCGCUCUGGUCAAAAUUUCAGCGAAUUGCAAGGAAUAAACCACCCGAGGGACAGUACCCGUGCUGAUUCAGGACGAUUUCCCAUACUUUGUACCUUGCUAUUGAAUUUUAAUACCCGAUCGAAACGAUGGCAAGCGCUGCCGAUAACUGGGUCAAAAAGACGACGGAUCAAGAAAUUUCUGCACUCGGUUAGCUAACUGAGUACAUAUCAUCAAGGAUAAGGAUUCAGAGCCGGCGGCUGGCAGUCCAGAGAAAGAGAAUGCGGAAAAACCUAGUCCACCGGCAGUAGAACCAAAGCUGCACCUGAUGUUUGGAGUUCGGUAGCUACAGAAAUUCUGACUCUAGCAGCUCCUGAAGAAAAACAAGCUGCAAGAGAAAAUGGAGAAACACCUUCCUCCGCGGAAGAUGCAGAGGCAUUCAACCCGGCGGAUGCAAGUUUGCUAAUGAAAGAUGUUCACUAAGGUCUAGUAGAAUCAAAGCUGGAUCUGAAGGUGCAGCGAAAGGAUUCUUCUUCGCCGGUUGGUUGGUUAAAACUUUCGAAGUUUUGCACGUGAAGCCGGGAUUACUUCAGGGAGUCUAUGCGAUGGGUUUCAACGCCCUUCCAAGAUUUAGGAGAUGGCUCUGUUGGCCCGUCCGCCACGGAAUAUAAUCGCCCAGAGUCAGUCGGGAACAGGAAAAACCGCUGCCUUUGUGCUGGCAAUGCACAGUUGAGUCCAUCAGUUAAAAAACUAUCUGCAGGUGAUUUGCCUUUCCCCCACGUAUGAGCUGGCAAUUCAGAAGGGGGAAGUAGCUGCCAAAAUGGCAAAGUUUUGUCCGGAAAUCAAACUUCCUUACGCCGUUCGCGGUGAGGAGACCGUCAAAGGGGCGAAGCUGACUAAUCAUAUCAUCAUCGGAACACCCGGCAAGCUAAUUGACUGAGGUAUAAUGUUCAGGACGUACGACCUAGUUUUUCCUUUUUGUACUGGACGAGGCGGGUGUUAUGGUCGGUGUUCUUCUUGGCCACGUACGAGCGCGAGGUGAUGGAGUUUGCCGAGUACAUCGUACCCAAUCCGAUCGUCAUUCGGCAGGCGCGGGAGCAAGAAUCACUCGAUAACAUCAAACAGUACUACGUCAAGUUCCGCAACCAGGACGAGAAAUUGUGUGAUUACCGUCGGACAAGCGAUCAUUUUCUGUCAUAUGAUGUAUAGGACAGUUGUAAACGUCCAAGUAAACUUAUUUUCAGAACUGUUAAUCGAUCGAAACAGGUACGAAAAACGGCCGGUUGGUUGACCUGCAGGAUGUCCCAGGAUGGUCACUCGGUAGCGGUACUGUCCGGUAAUCUAACGGUGGAGCAACGGUUGGAACGAACGUUUUGUCCAGGGGUAAGUUCCACCACUUGAUUCUGGCUACAGCACCAGGUUACGGAGAGAUUCUUUCGUCUUAGGUAUCGACGUCGAACAGGUGACCAUUGUCGUCAACUUCGACCUGCCGAUGGAUUAGCAGGGACGAGCCGAUUGCGAAACGUAUCUACAUAGGUUUAGACGCACCGGUAGAUUCGGUAAGUGUGACUCAUUCUUGUGAUCCUAUAGAUUGUAUUUCUUCCCACUUCUUUAACAGAACGGAAUCACCAUCAACCUAGUGGGCAGUGAUCGAAGCAUGAUGAUUUGCAGAUCAAUCAAAAAACACUUCCGGAAAAAGAUUCAGUUGCUAGACGCGGAGAACUCGGACGAAAUUGAAAAGAUCGCACCGUAAAGUGUUUUCGACCAGCUACUGGUCAUACUUGUUUUGAUUCUGAAUUUAUAAUUUUAUAUUUUUUUAAUUUACAAAUGUAACCAACAGGGUAUCGCAAGCUAAUAAAUUUACAAUUACAAUUACAAUCUCUACCCAGUUCUAUCCAAACAUUUGAAAAGGGCCUAACCACAAAAUGUAACAAAUUGAAAUUUCAUGUUUUCCAUUAACAAAUAUCUACCCGAGCACGUACAUAACGCAACAUUUGAUUAUGAAGAAUUUUGAUAGCGAUUUUACAACAAUUUAUAAAAGGGCCUAAUUGAUUUUUAUGACCGAACUGAUUAUGAAAAGACCUAACUGAUUGAAAAGUGCCUAACUAGCAAUACACUCGUUUUAAAUGGAUUAUAACGUAUUAUUGGAUUAUGACUGAUUGUAAAAGGCUUAUAACAUCUUUUCCAUAAUUUACAUACAGGGUCAAUUUGACCAUCAAAUUAGAAUUCAGUUAAUUCGUCUAACUUUCGGUGUAAUAUCAGACUUGAACAGCAUUUUUUGUGUGAGGUAUUCUGCCGCUAGAAGCAAAACUGUCCCAUGUUCUAUGGGAAUCCCUAUACACAUGGGACAAUUAUGCUUCUGGCGGUAGUAAUACAAGUAGUAGCAAUAUGCGCAAUUCCUUAAACCUCUCUAGUGUUUCAUGCAAUAAGAAUUACCACGAAUUACUUAUGACAAUAAAUUUCAAUUACGAUUCUCACAAUUGUUAUACCAAAAAUAGGUUUGUAUCCGUACUGAUUAUUGGUAGCAUUCCCUGAGACUUCCGGAACCUUUAGUAGUAGCCAUUGUUAUCAUAAUCGAUUUUUAACGUAGUUUAAAGCCUAGGGUUUGGUUCGACCUGAAACCGGUUGAGUCGGAGUCGGUUGUUAUAUUUGCGUUAUAUUUCCGGAUUCCGAAACGUGUUUCGAAAGGUAGUUUCCCCGAGACUUGUGAAAGCGGUAAAGGCGGCCAAGGCAAUCAGAUUUGCUUCUUAAUGGUCAAACGCCGAUUUAGACUUACGAUUCGGACAAUUACAAUAGAUUUGGUUUGAGCGAAUCUCGAUCAUUUCCCUGAGUCUUCUAGAACCGGUAGAAGCAGCCAAUUUAGAUAAAAAUUGGCCAGCCAAUGAUUUAAAUUUCCGAUUGCAGGAAUUGUGCUGUCUAAAUUGGUCAGACUGAACUUCCCCGAGACAUCCGGAACCGUCACAAAUAAGCAUUAUGAUUAAUCAUUCUCGAAAUAGGAUUCACGCUGAGUACGUCACUUCCCUGAGAGCUUCAUGAAUGGCAAAUAGGUUUACAAUUGUUACCGAUUUCAUACACAUCCGUGAUGAAUUAAUAAAAUACAUCAUUUAAAACAUUUAAAUGACAACAGAAAUAUAAAAAAGAAAUAAACAAACAACAGCUGAUGUCGUUUUCCAGUUAUCAAAAGCGACAUCUAACAGCAAACACACAGACUAGUUUUCGCGAGCAAAUGUCAAAAUUCCGCACGGAAGAAGGAAAAAUAUUUCGCGACCUCAUUUCGCAAGAGGUGCAUACUAAGCUUUAAGCGGUACGCAGCUCUCGCGAAAAUGAUACCGAAAUUUCCAAUUAGCCGAGACACGGUUCGACAAACAAUAAGUUUCAUAUUGCUUCCGCGAGAUUGCGCUGCUUUCUAUGCGCUGUCACUACGGCAAGCUUUUUCCUUGCGAAAUAAUGAUCAGUGGUAUUAUUCCGUUCGGAGGCUUGCGAAAUUUUGACAGAAUGCGAUAAAAAAAUACAAAAAAAAACAAGAUUUGUGAAUUUUUUGUAUUUUUUCAUCACAAGCUGUCAACAUGUAUAGAAUUUGCUUUUGCGAUGCAAUCGGUCGAAACGAUGGCAAGUGCUGCUGAUAACUGAGUCAAAAAGGCAGAGGAUCAGGAAAUUUAUGCUCUCGUAAGUGCCUAAACUGUUUUUGGAGCGAUCAUUGUUUCAUAGGAUUUGUAUUUUUCUUUUCAAUACAAAAGGUAGCGAUCCGAGUAUCACCAAGGAUAAGAAACCGGAGCCGGCGGUUGGCAGUCCGGAAAAAGAGGAUGCGGAAAAACCUAGUCCAUCGGCAGUAGAACCAGCGACGUAGAAACGGCUGCACCUGCAGUUUUGAGUUCGUUAAUUAUGGAAAUUCUGACUGGCUGCUCUUGAAGAAAGACAAGCUGCUAGUGGAAAUAGAAAAACAGCUUCCUACACGGAAGAUGCAGAUGCAUUCAACCCGGAGGAUGCAAAAAAACUUUCGAAGCUUUGCACAUGAAGCCGGAACUGCUUCAGGGAGUCUAUGCUAUGGAUUCCAACGCCCCUUCCAAGAUUCAGGAAACGGCUCUACCUACUCUGUUGGCCGAUCCGCCCAGCACAUGAUCGCCCAGUCAGUCAGAAACAAGAAAAACCGCUGCUUUCGCGCUGACAAUGCUCAGUCGAGUCGAUCCGUUAAAAAAACUAUCCGCAGGUGAUUUGCCUUUCCCUUACGUAUGAACUGGCAAAUCAGAAGGGGGUAGCAGCUGCCAAAAUUACAAAGUUAUGUCCGGAAAUCAAAUUUAGUUACCUCAUCCGCGGCGAGGAGAUUGUCAAAGGGGCGAAGCUGAUUAAUCAUAUCAUCAUCGAAACACCCGGUAAGCUGAUGGACUGGAAUAUAAAAUUCAGGCGUUCGACCUUGAGAAAUUGCCGUUUGUGUACUAAACGAAGCGGGCGUUAUGAUCGCUGUUCUUGGCCACGUACGAGCGGGAGGUAAUGGAGUUCACCGAGUACAUCUUACCCUAUCCGAUCGUGAUUCAGCUAGCGCGGGAGCAAGAAUCACUAGAUAACAUCAAACAGCACUACAAUAAGUACCGCAACCAGGACGAGAAAUAUCAAGCAAUUUCGAUCAUCUUUGGCGUGAUUACCAUCGGAUAUGCGAUCAUUUUCUGUCGUGUGAGUAUAGGACAGUUGUGAUUGGCAUUGUUAAUCGAUGGAAACAGACACGCAAAACGGCCGAUAGGAUGGUCAUUCGGUAGCGGUACUGUCCGGUGAUUUAACGGUGGAGCAAUGGUUUGCCGGUCUGAAUCGAUUCCGAGCCGGACUAAAGAAGGUAUUGAUUACAACGAACGUUUUGUCUUGGGGUAUCGAUGUCGAACAGGUGACCAUUGUAAACAUCAUCCUGUCGAUGGAUCAGUAGAGACGAGCCGAUUGCGAAACGUAUCUGCAUCGAAUUGGACGCACCGGUAAAUUCUGCAUCGCCAUCAACCUGGUGGGCAGUGAUCGAACCAUGAUGAUUUGCAGAUCAUUCGAAAAACACUUCCAGAAAAAGAUUCAGCUGCUAGACGCGGAGAACUCGGACGUUAUUGAAAAGAUCGGAUCGUAGUGUUUUCGACCAGCUACUGGUGAAAGGCGCUGGAGCUUUUUUGGUUCAUUAUUGUUCCGAUUGUGAAUCUAUAACUUUAUUUAGCUCUAUCAGUUGAUUUCCUUAGGAUUUAAUUCAAGGAUCGGUAACGCGAGGAUUGUGAAGUGCAUGUUUAAUUGUUAUAACUUGGAGUUAAGUGAACCACAGAUAACAGACGUUUAAGCUCGAUUUGAAUCGUGUAUAAAAACCCGCUACUGAAAUUCCGAAUAAAUUAGACGUCUGAAACACGUUUGGCAAACGUUUGCAGAUGACGCAGUGAUCAAUACAAUGCAGUUAGAGUGCAGCUGUUAAACACGUGUAGCAAACAGUUGCGCAGAUGGCAAUAGUGAAACACGGAUUUCCAACGUUUAUCAAUUUGAAAGUUUACACAGGUUUUUGAAGAAAUUUUGUUCUAGCCUAAACGUCUGUUAUCUGUGGGUAAACUCUUGAAGAAAACGACUUUGUUUUUUUUAUUUUGUCGUUGGACGGCCAGUAGAGUAAAGUGGCAAGAAUUUUUCCAAAACACCUUGAAGAAGAAGAUGAAAAAUAUUUUGUUCAAUACCAUGUAAAUAAAUAUUUCAGGAAGAUAGAACAGACAGCUAUAAAACAGCAAAAAAAUCUAAAAGAAAUUAUAUAUGCUUCGAAGCGAUUUUCAUCGUUGGCGCCGUUUCCGUCGUCGUCAUCCUCAGCAAGUUGUUCCUUCUUAACAUCGAGUUCCACCAAUUGAUCGUCCUGUGUCAUCUCCUUUUGAUAGCCCAAGAACGAAUCACUCUUAUCCUGUUCCUGCUCAUGCUCCUUUCCACGAUCCUCGAGUGUAUCGAAACGACCGGCGAUGACAACAAACACUUUACACUUGGGUCACUUCCAUGCAAUUCGCCCUCGCUGAUCAACCGAUCCGAUGGGUACCGGUAGCAACUGUGCACGACAAACAGCUGACCCCGCUUGCCCGGAAUCAGUUUUGAGUCUAGUUAUGUAAGGAAUGCAAACUAGGCUCGAUGGAACCUUGCCAGUCCUGGAUAUCACACACAUUUGGAGCAACAUCAGAUGUUUUUCAAGCCGUUCUCAACUCCUAUACGGCAGUUUUCACGCCGCCACCCGCGUAACGGCUUGAUAGUUGAUAUUCGAGCUUGUAGAACCAUUUGGGCGUACCAUAUAUGAGCUCCGACGGAAAUUGAGGAUGAAAUAGAUCUCUUCUAUGAGACAGUCGUCCGACGGUGUCGAAAGGCCGCAAGAGAUGAGCAGCGGUAAACUAGUUAUUCAAGAUGGGAAUGAGACACUUAAUUACCACCAUUGAAAUGAAAUCUCACACCCGAACAAAGCAAAUCAGCUGAACUAAUCUUGUCUCAACAUCCUGGAUCUGGCAAUCAGCCAACCAACAUUAAAUCGAUACAACCGCAGCAGUACCAACUACUCCAAAUCCAGCAACAGCCAACAACCCCUCAAAACCACAUAGCAAUUACUGCUCAAAUGAACAACAGGAGUUUACGAAUGAUGGACACAUCGGAAAACAUUUCAUCGGCACAUUCUGCCUUAAAACUUGUCUGCCACUAUUUUUACCAGCGGUUGCCUUCCUGAUUUAGAGAAAUCGGAUUCAAGCACAAACGUCACAUUCCAGCCUUGGUUCCUACCAGUUCCUUGCAUGAAAAUAUCACUGCCUCCACAGUGCUCGUGAUUCCAUUCCAGCAGCACCAAGCAAUCACUAGUCGAGUGCUUAUCGCCAACAUUUCACAGCAAGCUCAGUAGCAGAACCACCUUCAACCACAACAUCAGAAAAUUAAGAUUUCUUCCAGACCAUGACCAUCAUCCUAAAGGUCGGUAGCAAUAACGUUCAACCGACGGUACAACCUGGUCAGCAACCGCAAUUAGUGCAAUAGAUCCAAGCCAAAUGUAGAAGACCAUUGACCAACUGCAAAAAAAGAUAGCAACAGCACAUUCAAACACAGCAGCAGCAGCAUACUAUACUGUACCAUGCGGUGUGCAGGAGGACUUUUUUAUUCAGUUGGUGCGGCAAGAUCGAACACCAACAACAUAAUAUCAUGGUAAUCACCCAGCAAGAGAACGCAGUGAUAAUGGACCAACAGAAAACACAACAUCAAGAUGCUCGGAAAGAACUUUCUCUUUCGAACAAACAUAAUGGCACGUCAUGUUCAAUCGGCUAACCGUUUGGAAUAAGCGCUCAUCAUCGGUUUCAUGGCAGGGAAGUGAGCAGGCAAAAGAAGGCAUCGUUUUUUCCGCAAGGUCGCUCUGGUCAAAAUUUCAGCGAAUUGCAAGGAAUAAACUACCCGAGGGACAGUACCCGUGCUGAUUCAGGACGAUUUCCAAUACUUUGUACCUUGCUAUUGAAUUUUAAUACCCGAUCGAAACGAUGGCAAGCGCUGCCGAUAACUGGGUCAAAAAGACGACGGAUCACGAAAUUUUUGCACACGGUUAGCGAACUGAGUACAUAUCACCAAGGAUAAGGAUUCAGAGCCGGCUGGCAGUCCAGAGAAAGAGAAUGCGGAAAAACCUAGUCCACCGGCAGUAGAACCAAAGCUGCACCUGAUGUUUGGAGUUCGGUAGCUACGGAAAUUCUGACUCUAGCAGCUCCUGAAGAAAAACACGUAUGAGCUGGCAAUUCAGAAGGGGGAAGUAGCUGCCAAAAUGGCAAAGUUUUGUCCGGAAAUCAAACUUCCUUACGCCGUUCGCAGUGAGGAGACCGUCAAAGGGGGGAAGCUGACUAAUCAUAUCAUCAUCGGAACACCCGGCAAGCUAAUGGACUGGGGUAUAAAGUUCAGGACGUACGACCUAGUUUUCCCUUUUUGUACUGGACGAGGCGGGUGUUAUGGUCGGUGUUCUUCUCGGCCACGUACGAGCGCGAGGUGAUGGAGUUUGCCGAAUACAUCGUGCCCAAUCCGAUUCGGCAGGCGCGGGAGCAAGAAUCACUCGAUAACAUUAAACAGUAUAACGUCAAGUUCCACAACCAGGACGAGAAAUUGUGUGAUUACCGUCGGACAAGCGAUCAUUUUCUGUCAUAUGAUGUAUAGGACAAUUGUAAACUCCAAGUAAACUUAUUUUCAGAACUGUUAAUCGAUCGAAACAGGUACGCAAAACGGCCGGUUGGUUGACCGGCAGGAUGGUCACUCGGUAGCGGUACUGUCCGGUGAUCUAACGGUGGAGCAACGGUUGGAACGAACGUUUUGUCCAGGGGUAAGUUCCACCACUUGAUUCUGGCUACAGCACCAGGUUACGGAGAGAUUCUUUCGUCUUAGGUAUCGACGUCGAACAGGUGACCAUUGUCGUCAACUUCGACCUGCCGAUGGAUUAGCAGGGACGAGCCGAUUGCGAAACGUAUCUACAUCGCAUUAGACGCACCGGUAGAUUCGGUAAGUGUGACUCAUUCUUGUGAUCCUAUAGAUUGUAUUUCUUCCCACUUCUUUAACAGAACGGAAUCACCAUCAACCUAGUGGGCAGUGAUCGCAGCAUGAUGAUUUGCAGAUCAAUCGAAAAACACUUCCUGAAUUGCUAGACGCGGAGAACUCGGACGAAAUUGAAAAGAUCGCACCGUAAAGUGUUUUCGACCAGCUACUGGUCAUACUUGUUUUGAUUUUGAAUUUAUAAUUUUAUUAUAUUUUUUUAAUUUUUUUUUCUUCCUUGACCUGACAUACACACUUAAUCUUGUUCUACCGAAUCCCAGCUUUUUUCGCUACUUUUACCGAAUUUUACACAGCCGAGCACUCAGCUAACAAUGCUUUUACCGAGAUCUCAGUAGAAGUGACGUUUGUUUUGUAUAAACUCGGUAAAUAUAUCGCUGAAAAUCAGUAAAUUUACGCCACUUUGCUGAGCUAUCAGUUGAAAAAUUUUACUGACUGUUCAGCUGUGCGGAAAUUACCGAACUGAAUUGAGUGUGUAAGGUAUACAAAUGUACCCAACAGGGUAUCGUAAGCUAAUAAAUUUACAAUUACAAUUUAUCUCUACCCAGUUCUAUCCAAACAUUUGAAAAGGGCCUAACUACAAAAUGUAACAAAUUGAAAUUUCAUGUUUUCCAUUAACAAAUAUCUACCCGAGCACGUACAUAACGCAACAUUUGAUUAUGAAGAAUUUUGAUAGCGAUUUUACAACAAUUUACAAAAGGGCCUAAUUCAUUUUUAUGACCGAACUGAUUAUGCAAGGACCUAACUGAUUGAAAAGUGCCUAACUAGCAAUACACUCGUUUUAAAUGGAUUAUAACGUAUUAUUGUAUUAUGACUGAUUGUAAAAGGCUUAUAACAUCUUUUCCAUAAUUUACAUACAGGGUCAAUCUGCCCAUCAAAUUAGAAUUAAGUUAAUUCGUCUAACUUUCGGUGUAAUAUCAGACUUGAACAGCAUUUUUUGUGUGAGGUAUUCUGCCGCUAGAAGCAAAACUGUCCCAUGUGCUAUGGGAAUCCCUAUACACAUGGGACAAUUAUGCUUCUUGCGGCAGUAAUACAAUUAGUAGCAAUAUGCGCAAUUCCUUAAACCUCUCUAGUGUUUCAUGCAAUAAGAAUUACCACGAAUUACUUAUGACAAUAAAUUUGAAUUACGAUUCUCACAAUUGUUAUACCAAAAAUAGGUUUGUAUCCGUACUGAUUAUUGGUAGCAUUCCCUGAGACUUCCAGAACCUUUAGUAGUAGCCAUUGUUAUCAUAAUCGAUUUUUAACGUCAGCCAAAGUUUAAAGCCUAGGGUUUGGUUCGACCUGAAACCGAUUAA